UACGAAGGGGGCUAGCGUUGCUCGGAAUCACUGGGCGUAAAGGGUGCGUAGGCGGGUCUUUAAGUCAGGGGUGAAAUCCUGGAGCUCAACUCCAGAACUGCCUUUGAUACUGAAGAUCUUGAGUCCGGGAGAGGUGAGUGGAACUGCGAGUGUAGAGGUGAAAUUCGUAGAUAUUCGCAAGAACACCAGUGGCGAAGGCGGCUCACUGGCCCGGUACUGACGCUGAGGAGCGAAAGCCAGGGGAGCAAACGGG
rnacentral:rRNA from 1 species